rnacentral:rRNA from 1 species
AUUGAACGCUGGCGGCAGGCCUAACACAUGCAAGUCGAGCGAGCGGCGGACGGGUGAGUAAUGUCUGGGGAACUGCCCGAUAGAGGGGGAUAACUCCUGGAAACGGUAGCUAAUACCGCAUACCCUCAGAUGUGCCCAGAUGGGAUUAGCUGGUAGGUGGGGUAACGGCUCACCUAGGCGACGAUCCCUAGCUGGUCUGAGAGGAUGACCAGCCACACGGGAACUGAGACACGGUCCAGACUCCUACGGGAGGCAGCAGUGGGGAAUAUUGCACAAUGGGCGCAAGCCUGAUGCAGCCAUGCCGCGUGUAUGAAGAAGGCCUUCGGGUUGUAAAGCACUUUCAGCGGGGAGGCGUUACCCGCAGAAGAAGCACCGGCUAACUCCGUGCCAGCAGCCGCGGUAAUUC